AGUGAUUUAGCUGGGAGGUGAGGAAGCGUGGGAAAAACGAGCAAUAGAAUAGAACGCCCCGCGUACCCAGUGCGUGCAAGGAUAACAGUGUCUAUCCUUAUCGUGACAGCUUAACGAGAGAGCGAGAGAGAGAGAGAGAGAGUGUGAAAGAGCGAGUGAGAGUAGUAGACGCUGUGUGGUCCAUCAUCAUCGAUGCCAACGAAGGGAAUUGCAAUCGAAGGAAGCCAUCACUAGUCGCGAAAGCUGGCCGCUGCUGCACAUCAUAAUUGCACAAAAGAAAAACAAAACAACGAAGCGCACAACAGUGAGCGAAGAAUACAGUAUCGGAAAAUGCACAAAUCAGCCGGCUGGAAUGAUUUAACUCUACCGCGGCUGUAACCCACAAUCCCUCUGUCGCACAAUCAUUGCGUUCGUACAAUCAUCGCACACCCAACCGGUACACAUCAUUUCAUCAGACAAGGG